UAGAGUUUGAUCCUGGCUCAGAGCGAACGCUGGCGGCAUGCUUAACACAUGCAAGUCGCACGGGCAGGGGCAACCCUGUCAGUGGCGGACGGGUGAGUAACGCGUAGGUAUCUAUCCUUGGGUGGGGGACAACUGUGGGAAACUACAGCUAAUACCGCAUGAUAACUGAGGUUUAAAGGCGCAAGUCGCCUGAGGAGGAGCCUGCGUACGAUUAGCUUGUUGGUGGGGUAAAGGCCUACCAAGGCGACGAUCGUUAGCUGGUCUGAGAGGAUGAUCAGCCACAUUGGGACUGAGACACGGCCCAAACUCCUACGGGAGGCAGCAGUGGGGAAUAUUGGACAAUGGGCGCAAGCCUGAUCCAGCAAUGCCGCGUGUGUGAAGAAGGUCUUCGGAUUGUAAAGCACUUUCGACGGGGACGAUGAUGACGGUACCCGUAGAAGAAGCCCCGGCUAACUUCGUGCCAGCAGCCGCGGUA
rnacentral:rRNA from 1 species